GAUGAACGCUGGCGGCGUGCCUAAUACAUGCAAGUCGAGCGAACGGACGAGAAGCUUGCUUCUCUGAUGUUAGCGGCGGACGGGUGAGUAACACGUGGAUAACCUACCUAUAAGACUGGGAUAACUUCGGGAAACCGGAGCUAAUACCGGAUGAUAUUUUGAACCGCAUGGUUCAAAAGUGAAAGACGGUCUUGCUGUCACUUAUAGAUGGAUCCGCGCUGCAUUAGCUAGUUGGUAAGGUAACGGCUUACCAAGGCAACGAUGCAUAGCCGACCUGAGAGGGUGAUCGGCCACACUGGAACUGAGACACGGUCCAGACUCUACGGGAAGCAGCAGUAGGGAAUCUUCCGCAAUGGGCGAAAGCCUGACGGAGCAACGCCGCGUGAGUGAUGAAGGUCUUCGGAUCGUAAAACUCUGUUAUUAGGGAAGAACAUAUGUGUAAGUAACUGUGCACAUCUUGACGGUACCUAAUCAGAAAGCCACGGCUAACUACGUG
rnacentral:rRNA from 1 species